rnacentral:ncRNA from 1 species
GCUUGUCAAGCUUUUUCGUUGGGUUUAGAUCAUGACAGGACUAGAGGAAGAAGCCACUGAGAUAAGGGAGAGUGGAAUUUCGUGUGGAGGGAUCAAAUCCUAAGAUAUAAGAAGGAACCCCAACCGCGAAGACAGCUCUCUGGGUCCCCACUGACGCUGGGGUGAGAAAGCAUGGGGAGAAAACAUGAUCAGAUACCCUGGUAGUCCAUGCCGUAAGCGUAUUCGUCCUUCGUCUACUUG